AUGCAUGAAGUUAAAGGAUGUUUCUGCAAAACUAGCAAAACUCUGGAUAAUAGUCAAAAUCGUCUAGAGGAAAAGAACAUGACAUGGGCCAAAACUGCUGGUCCAGGUGCACAGGAGACUGGAGGGAGGGCCUGCUCACCCACGGGCCAUGGCCCAGGUCGGCACAGCAGAGGAGGAGAAGGGUCGGCCCAGGGAACGGAGGGCGCUGCUGGAGCCGGGGCGAGGCCGGCCCACACACGUGCAAGGGAGGCAGCCCAGGCGAUGCUCGUCCUCUGCUCGACAGAGCCAGAACGGCGGCGCUGA
rnacentral:rRNA from 1 species